UACAGAGGGUGCGAGCGUUAAUCGGAAUUACUGGGCGUAAAGCGCACGUAGGUGGCGACGUAAGUCGGGUGUGAAAGCCCCGGGCUCAACCUGGGAAUUGCAUUCGAGACUGUGUUGCUGGAGUACGGAAGAGGAGGGCGGAAUUCCCGGUGUAGCGGUGAAAUACGUAGAGAUUGGGAAGAACACCAGUGGCGAAGGCGGCUAUCUGGACGGUUUCUGACACUAAGACUCGAAAGCGUGGGGAGCAAACAGG
rnacentral:rRNA from 1 species